AAAACUGCCCAAGUUCCUCCCCCACUGCUUCAUGUACGUCCUUCCCAAAGCUGCACGUUCCCCUAAAUAGAGGAGAGCCCAUCUUCUAUCAAGGGUAUAUUAGUAGCUGCACUCCCCUGCUAGAACCUUCAGACAAGCUGUCUAGUAAAAUAUAUUUUUAAAAACAAUUAUUGUUCAUACUCUGUUCUGAGUGUCUUA
rnacentral:sRNA from 1 species